UUGUCCGCCAAACAACUACGAGUUAUACUUAAAACUUAAAAGACUUGACGGUACUUCACCACGCCCUAGAGGAGCCUGUCCAGUAACCGAUAAUCCACGAUUAACCCAACCCCUUCUAGCCUAACAGUCUAUAUACCGCCGUCGCCGCUUACCUUGUGAAAGAAAGAAAGUGAGCUAAACAGCACCACACUAAAACGACAGGUCGAGGUGUAACUAAUGAAGGGGACUAAGAUGGGCUACAUUCUCUAACCGAGAACACGAACAACACUAUGAAAUUAGUGUUUAAGCGGAUUUAGCAGUAAGUUAAGAAUAAAACACCUAACUGAACAUAACGCAAUGAAGUGCGCACACACCGCCCGUCACCCCUGCCACCAC
rnacentral:rRNA from 1 species